UUCGAGGUCGUCGGGGUCGAGGUCGGUCAGGGCCGGGGGGCGAGGUCGCCGGGGAGGACCUGCAGCGUCGGCGGCUCAGAGUGGAGAGGAGAGAGUUAGGAGGGGAAAGGUAGGGAGUGAGGGGUGGGGCGACGACGCAGAGUGGAGAGGGAGAGAGUGAGAAGGGGGAGAGGGAGGGAGUGAGGGGCGGGGCGGCGGCGAGAGUGGAGAGGGAGGGAGUGAGGGGCGGUAGUGACGGUGCAGAGUAUGGAGAGGGAGAGAGUGAGAGAGAGGGCCGUGCAGGGGCGACGAAGACGAUAAAUGCACACCCCACUUAGCAGUAGCGCGGGUCAGAAAAACACGCUACUACUAUUUUGUUAGCAGUAGCACCGGUAUAUGGGGCACGAUACUACUAAGUCCAGCCUGUAGGAAACGGUUGGGCAAUAUUAGUAGUAACGUGUUUCUUAAAAUAAUGCUACUGCUAAGUAUUUAGCAGUAGCGACUCUAGUAGACGCGCGCUACUGAUAUGUAGCAGCAGCGCCCUCUUUUAUCCAGCGCUACUGCUAAUGUUCUGUGUAUAAGGUUUUCCUUGAUAAUGACCCGUUUCGCUAAUCCGGACGAGUGGGGAAAGUUUGGAUGCCCGAUUUUAAGGAGGGCGCUAUGUUAUUAUAGCACUUUUUUUUUUCAGUUGAUAGACUUGCUGUGUAACUUGUAGUCGAUGUGGUAUCAGGUUGCUGCAGCUGCGCUAUUACUCGAUUUAAACUCAAUCGCGUUUUAUUGUUUGUGCAAAUACUGGCGAUUACUCAUCGCUUUGUUCUCCCUAGGAAACUUGUUCCCAGUGCUGGAUUUGGCUAUUAUUGAUGUCAAUGUGAACAACAUGCCAUGUAAUAGUACUAACCUGUUUGUGGUUAGUUAAUGAGUUGAAUCUAUGUUUCUCCAGUUUGCAACUCAAUGAGCUUUCUCCCUUCAAAGUUCUUGGAGAUGUCUAUCGCAUCAUCUAUUGCCAAUCUUUCAAUAUAGGUGCACACAAUGUAAAUAUACAUGUUUGCUCAAGGUCUAGGAGUUUAACGCAAGUGUUAAGAAGCUCCCAUUAGUUCGGAUGUUUUCUGUUCCUACACUUUUGGACAUAGGGGCAAGUGUCUCGUAUUACAAAUGCGUGCCCGGUGUCCCAAUAUAUAAUUGAUCAUCCACAUUAUUUGAGAGGCAUUAUUACCUCUUGCCUCAAUUUAACAAAUAACAAAAGAUGAUAAAUGGCAGAAAGAAAUCCGCAACCCCAUUUAUAUGAUACUCUGUCCAAUGUGUUUGCUCUCAUGUUAUUUCUCCAUCCCACCGAAAUAGGAUGUCACAUAUUUUCUUUAGUUUCUUCACCUCUCACUUACUCAUAGGUAUGGGAGGUGUUGGGAAAUUCCGAGUAACUUACAGUUCCAAGUGUUGCAGCUUAUCUAAAAACUUCGACUGAUAAUGCUUUGGUAUGUCGAGGUACUGACUGCCAUGUAGAUUAUCUGAGUUUCAAACAUGUUAGAAACUCACUCACGAGUUCCAUUACAGUUCGAAGGGUGGCAAGCUUCUGUAAAUGCUUUGACUUAGAUUGUUUAGCACCCUUAUUGAGCAUGAAUGUAGUCCACUUUGCUGGCUUAACAUGUACUCCCUCGGUCCCAAUAUAUAACACAUUGUUACACCCAAUACAUUUGAUGUAAUAAUGUGUUAUAUUAUGGGCCGCAGGGAGUAUAAGCAUGAUGUUCUAUAAGGACGUGUUAUCACUGUUAAUAAAUGACAUAAAUGUUCUCCUGUGUAUCAAAGUCAAAAGAUCCUUAGAUAUUUCUAAACUAGUCAUAAUGAUAAUAAACAUUUAGUUGAGGCAAUGUUCAUCCAUGUUAUUUUUGUUCAUUUGUAGAUGACAAGGAGAUCAAGUUAGUACACUUCUGUUGAAUGACGACAAUGAUUUGUUUUUAUUUUGAUAAGGAAGUGUUCAAAAAAUCUCAUUGAACAUAUUUAUGGGCCCAGAGUGUGCACUUGCCAUUCAUCAUAUAUAGCGAACAUGCCCGCCUCCAAGGUUCCUUUCUCUGCAUUGCCUCUCUUUCACGAUCGGGUGCAAGGGCAAUCUUCUAAGGAAGCAUGCCAUUGACAUGCUACUAUUAAACAUCACUUAAUCUUGAUCUUCUGCACCCUUUUUUUGGACCGAGAUAGUUUAGGAAAACAGUUAGCAUACACAUUGUUGAUAUAGCCACUCAGAUGAGGCCUCUAUAUAUAGGAUUUUAACCAAGGAUGGACACGCGCUCAUAUCAACUAUGCUUGACUGUUAAUUUUUUUUCCGAAACGGAGGCAUAAGAUUUGCCUCAUCUAUUAAGUAAAAAGAGAAUAGAGUUUAGAGUUUUAUAUAACACCCCGCCCAAACGGCAUGGCAAUUACUCACACAAGAUUACAUCAAAAGUUUUUUAAGCACCGGCAGUAACCCAUAGCUUUUCUUCUUCAUGAAUGGACCUAAGAAGAAUAGAUAGUGGUGCAAAUGUUUUGACGAAACACUCCAGCAUUCCGCACUUUCCGAAUGUUUCAUGAGAUGAGCAUGGUGAGGGAGGUCUUCGCAUGCCAAUUUGGAUUUUGAUUAUCGGUUCAUUUGUCCCAUCAAUUUUUGACGCAUUCAUCAAGAUGCCACUCGGAGAUGUUGAUGUGAGGUAACUCAAGGCUCUGAAUAAUUGAUAUUCAUAGCCUAAGUGUGUACUGAUCGACGUUCCAACCAAUAAUCUCAAUAAUUUGAAGAAGAGGUGUGUCCGCGUUUUUUUUUGUCUUGCACAGUUGGCAAAGGCCACAGUUGGCCCAACUACGCCUCUCCAACCGAUCGGCGUUCCAAAUACGAUCUUAUAGAGCUAACCAAGCGAAGAAUUUAACCUUGAGGGUGCCCAAGCCUUCCAAACCAUGUGGUCCUGUACACGAUGGCUGCGAGUAGAUCCCAUCGUUUGGAUGCUUCCAAAUGAUCUCAUCUUCAGCUUGCCCGUCAAGUAGGAAGUCAUGUACUAGCAUCCAAAGGGUGAAGAAUUUGAUCCCAUGAAUGGUGUUCCUACGCUGCUGUACAUGCGCUGACCAUGAUGACCACUUCGGCAGUUUGGAGUGGCAUGAUAGAAUUGGAUCGCAGCUCACUUGUCACUGUAACCGUUACAAAAUAUAGAAAGUCUAACCAGACGAUGCAGUGACGUUGGCUGCACAAAACAAACUUUGUGUCCGGUGUUCAUCUAAAUUCGGGUAUGUGUGUGCUCUGAAUGGGUGAGAUUCUUCGAGCAUGCAACUAAAAAAUCUAGUGUAUGAAGCUAACUAGCUAAUCAUGGUCGAUUGAUCAAACAAUCAUGUAAGAUGUUGUCCCGAGUAUACAUCCCUCAUAAAGUCAACCAAAUAUGCAUGUACAAUUAUGCACACAGCUCUUAAGUCCACUGAGAUGGUGUGCUGCAAUCGUGAGCAGAUGCUGCUUCGAUAAGGAUCCAAUAAUGUAGAAAAAAAAGGUUGAAUAUUCAUUUUCACUAAUAUCCCCAGUUGCAGCCACUCCGCGGAAACUGUGCUCGUGGUUGUCUUUCAAAUCAUGCAUACAUGCAUCUGCUAAAUUUUGGAUCAGACAAUUAGAAAUUAAGUUAUUUUUCUGUCAAUAUGGAAUACCAGAGUCAAUAUGUUUGUGAGAUUUGCCUCAAGAUAUGUUUUUUGUCAGGCAACAGUUGCCAUUUCUGUUUGUCACAUAAAUACAACAUAGGGCGGGGAUCUGCAAACGACUACCCCUAGCUAAUAGAAAUAAGCAUUCUGUCUUAGUAAUCCUACAACACGCCAAGAGCUUUCUGCAUAGAAAAUUAGGUAAAAUAUAUUUAAAUUUAUGUAAUAUUCAUCUACCUAAUCUUAUCACGUAUUAUAACACGGCUUUCCACCAGGCUAAGCUAUGUUACGUGGAUGUAGCAAAGCUCUUCUUGGCAGCCUUUAUUGCUAAGCUAGAUUCAAUGAAGGUACCCUCUGCCACCGUUAUCAACUCAACCCACUUUAUCUGAAGUGAAAUCAUCUAUUACUUGUCUAUCUUAUGACCUAUAUAGGACGAGAGAUGAUAUAUUGAUCCUAUAGCCCUAUAUAUACGUCCUCCACCAAUAUCACUAGUGCAUGCAUGAAUCUCGUCAUUCCAUUUUGCUUUCAUCAUUUGCUCGAUACCUCAUUGAUUGCUCGUAGACACAAGAAGUGUGAGACAGUUUCCAAUUAUGUACCUUUUCCUCUUUCAAUAAUUUGAAGGAUUGGGCAUCAAACUCUUAAGUUAGUUUGUCAACUUCCGUACCAUAUGUCUUUUUUUUUUUUUACUAUUUACCACAUGUGCUAUUACAUAAUGCAUGCUCCGGCCUUACAACUCGUUUAACUCCCUUUACCUAAUAAUGAGAGAUGUCAUGUGACUAUAUGACACACAACAUUAAAUUCAUAUGUAUAUCAUAUAUAAUCCCCCUUCCAGUGUUUUUUCUCCCGCAUUACACACAACAUUGAAUCCAUUUGUGAUAUAUCUGGUCUGUAGCUGCUUAUAUAUUUGGUCACUCGCAUGCAUAGGCAUGAGAGGUGUUGGAAAGGUCCCAAUAGAGUACUCUUAGAAGCACACAUUUCUUUAGCGUUGAUGAUGUGUUCGAAAUUGAUAUAGUGCCCCCGUGAUCUCAUUAAGCUCCUGCAGGCAGGAGACAGGUAUUGCGUUUCCCCCCAAUAUGUGCUCGCCUGCGUGAACAUUCCCUCCAUGGUACCUUCCUUUGUGUUGUUUCUUGUUCAGGAACAUGCAUGGAUGAAGAGUAAUCUCAUUAAGAAGUCCUACACUCGCACGGAACUACCUGCCUUCUUGUUUCGCUUGUCUGUCGCGUCCUUUUGGAAGUCGGACUGCUCAAGUUAUUCCUGGGUCCACCGCUGCGUUAGGGGCGAGCCUAGCUCCUUCUCAGGUUAGGGGCGAGUCUAGCUAGUCUUUCGGGUUUGGGGCAAGCCUAGCUCCUUCUCAGGUUGUUCCUGGGUCCACCACUGCGCUGAGUGGUUCAUGACAUUGGUACACGCCAUUGAGAGGCUUCUAGACGAUUUAGCCGAAGGAUGGAACACACAACCUCACAAGAAUUGUACAUGAUCGAAGCAGGUUUAUUGUUCAAGGUGCCUCUCGUUAUUUGCUCCCCCCCCCCCUUUCACUGCCUUCACAAAUCUGGCACAAGCUUACUGCAUGUACUCUCUAAACAUAACUAAGAUUAACUAGUUAUACAAUUAUGCACACAGAUCUUUAGUCAUGUGAAAUGGUGUAGUAAAGUCAUCUGCAAAAGUUGCUACCAUAAGGGUUUAAUGUAGAAACAAAGGUUGCAUAUUCUAUGGAUGCAACCUGUAGUUUCAACUAAUCCAUCAUUCUGGCCACCUGGCGGAAGUGGUGGUGUUUCAACUAGAGGAGUUGUGUGACGUUGGCUGCACAAAACAACUAUGUGUUUGGUGUUCAGCUUGUUCGAAUUCAGAGCGGAGGAAAUUCUUUGUGCUAAAUACCUUCUUUGCAAGCCGUGAUCCCACAACGAACCGAAAUGGCCAUCAAAAAGUAGAUUCAUUUUCUGAUAGAAAAAUAAUCUGCUUUCUUCUGUCACAUGUAUUUCUGAAAGAACUCCGUGUGCAUGUGUUUUUUGAAUCGGUGAAAUUCUUUGAGCAUCUAACUAAACAGAAAAAGCUGAGAUUGUUAGCAAUUAAGUAUUUCCGUGGAUGGACAUGGAACACUAGUGGAAGAUGGGGGUUUAGUCCCGGUUCCAAAGGGCCUUUAGUCCUGGUUGUGCAGCCGGGACUAAGCCUUCGGGACUAAAGGCCACAGGUUUUAUUCCCGGUCGUGAUGCAAACUGGAAUUAAAGGUAGUCCAAAUGCCCGUUGCGCAGGCUUGGACAGGAGGACCUCUAGUCCCGGUUGAUAACACCAACCGGGGCUAAAGAGAUCCACGCGUUUUUUGGAGGGGUUUGACGAGUUUUUUUUUUUCUUAGAACCAAAGCCCUCUUUUCUACUAGUGUCCCCGCGUCGGCCACCUUUCUCCCUCGACGCUAGCUACUAAUAGCAAUGAAUGAACCUUUACACAAUAUCAUCAUGAAUAUGAAGUGACCUCUCGCCUCGACGCUAGCUACUAAUAUUCGACUCUAUUACAUAUAGUACACAUUCAUGCAUAUAUACAAUAUAUAUCUAUCACGAUCUCUAAUAUCUAAUUACCAAUAUCCGCUAUCACUUCCUGAUGCAAUUCUUCGGUUGGUGAUAUUACUUCAUCAAGGAAAAAUCCUGCCAAUUCUUCUUGAAUUGCUCGUAUGCGAUUUCUCUGAUAGGAGUUCAUCCUGUUUCCGUCGGGUCCAAUUUAAAGAAGGGAUCAAUAAGAAACUCAACAAAAUUAACGGUAAUAAAAUAAAUCGUGAAUAUUUUUACGUACGUCAAGUUCUUCAAAAUUUCUGCCAGUCUCCCAGGUCGUCAUGCGAACACCCUUUCUGUUAGACUUCCCUCAAAGAUAUAUUUUUUGUCACGCAACUAUUGAAGUUUGUGUUUUUUUAGAGGAAAUACAAUAUACAAUUGGGAUCUGCUGACCACUAGCUAGCUAGCAAAAGUAAUAAUUCGGUCUUCGUUAUUCCAGUACACGCUAAGUGUUUUUUGCAUAGAAAUCAUGUAAAACUCAUGGUCGGAAUAUAUUUAAGAUGCUGGAAAAUUCAUCUAUGUAAUUUUGUCAUGUAUUCUAACAUGCUUUUCCACCAGCACUACAAUCUCGGUAACCUAAUUUCUAAGCUAGUUUCAAUCAAUAUACCUUGUCACCCCACGAGCAUGCACUAGUGGGGACGGG
rnacentral:lncRNA from 1 species